GACGAACGCUGGCGGCGUGCUUAACACAUGCAAGUCGAGCGGAAAGGCCACUUCGGUGGUACUCGAGCGGCGAACGGGUGAGUAACACGUGAGUAAUCUGCCCUCCACUUCGGGAUAGCCCCGGGAAACUGGGAUUAAUACCGGAUAUGACCACUGGCCGCAUGGCCUGGUGGUGGAAAGUUUUUCGGUGGGGGAUGUGCUCGCGGCCUAUCAGCUUGUUGGUGGGGUAAUGGCCUACCAAGGCUUCGACGGGUAGCCGGCCUGAGAGGGUGACCGGCCGCAAUGGGACUGGGACACGGCCCAGACUCCUACGGGAGGCAGCAGUGGGGAAUAUUGGACAAUGGGCGGAAGCCUGAUCCAGCAACGCCGCGUGAGGGAUGACGGCCUUCGGGUUGUAAACCUCUUUCAGCGCCGACGAAGCGAGAGUGACGGUAGGCGCAGAAGAAGCACCGGCCAACUACGUGCCAGCAGCCGCAGUAACAC
rnacentral:rRNA from 1 species